rnacentral:miRNA from 1 species
AAAUGCGGGUUGGGUUGGGCU